UAGGGAAUCUUCGGCAAUGGACGAAAGUCUGACCGAGCAACGCCGCGUGAGUGAAGAAGGUUUUCGGAUCGUAAAACUCUGUUGUUAGAGAAGAACAAGGACGUUAGUAACUGAACGUCCCCUGACGGUAUCUAACCAGAAAGCCACGGCUAACUACGUGCCAGCAGCCGCGGUAAUACGUAGGUGGCAAGCGUUGUCCGGAUUUAUUGGGCGUAAAGCGAGCGCAGGCGGUUUCUUAAGUCUGAUGUGAAAGCCCCCGGCUCAACCGGGGAGGGUCAUUGGAAACUGGGAGACUUGAGUGCAGAAGAGGAGAGUGGAAUUCCAUGUGUAGCGGUGAAGUGCGUAGAUAUAUGGAGGAACACCAGUGGCGAAGGCGGCUCUCUGGUCUGUAACUGACGCUGAGGCUCGAAAGCGUGGGGAGCAAACAGGAUUAGAUACCCUGGUAGUCCACGCCGUAAACGAUGAGUGCUAAGUGUUGGAGGGUUUCCGCCCUUCAGUGCUGCAGCAAACGCAUUAAGCACUCCGCCUGGGGAGUACGACCGCAAGGUUG
rnacentral:rRNA from 1 species